rnacentral:lncRNA from 1 species
CACAAGGUAGUAACGCUAAGGCAUGUAUGGGCAGCGCAUAUGCUAGUAGGUAGUGGGCAUAAAAGUGUGCAAGGAAGCACGUAAAUGGGUAAUGUACAAUAGGGGUGGGCAUUCGGAUCGGGUUAACCAGAUCCAAAUCGAACUCGAAAUUUAUUUCGGAUUCGGUUCGGUUCUGGUUAACAUAUAAAAUCCGAACGGGUUGAAAAUUAUAACCUGAUCGGAUUUUAAAUUUUGUUCGGGUUGAACCCGAACCGAAUUUAAAAACUGAUCGGGUUGGACCUUAAAAAUUAAAUCUCUCUCUCACCAUUCACGCACGCCCAAUUCCAAUUUCAAGAUCCCUAAAGUAACUGCUUAAGCCUUCAAUAAUCCCCCUCUUCUCAUCUUCUUCCACAAUAGCAGCACAACCCUCCUCCUAGCGCAGCCCACAGAUGUUCAGCCGACGCCCAUGCUGCGGCUCACUCACCUCACGACUGACUCACUCUCACUCCACCGCCCGUUCGCUUUCGAUCAAGCUGUUGUCGCUUCUAUCUUUGCCAUCGCCUCCGACUGUUUCCAAUCCAUCUUUGCAACCAGUAGGUUACUUAUUAUUUUUUUAUUAUUGUUAUUAAUUUAUUAUUAUUAUAAACAAUCGCCGUAUGUUCCUGGUUCAUGCUCUCAAUUGGUUUGUCAUGAAGCAAAAUGUAUUAAAUAUUAUUGAUUGAUGCAUGUCUUUCAUAGCAUAAAGUGGCUUAGAUUGGAGCUUUUCUGAAAAAGUGAAAAUUUCAUUUAAUUAUUUAGUAUUCACGGAUAAGAAAUAGACUUCAUCUUUUUUCUAAUGCCACACGUCUAGAGAGCUUUGCCUGUGUUUUAGUUGGAUAAAAAUUGUUGCAAAUGUCACACGAGAGGAGGGAAGCAUAAAAGGUUUAACCCGAAUGAACCCGAAUUAUCAAACUGAACCAAUCCGAAUUGUGAACCCGAACCAAACCGAAAUAAUUUUGGUUCGGUUUGGUUUGGGUUAGCAUUUUCAACCCGAUUGGGUUCAAUUCUUCAACUCGAACGAGUUGUAACCCAAACCAAAACCCGAACAAUCCGAACCGAAAUCUGAUUUGCCCACCCCUAAUGUGCAACACAUUACAUGGGGGACAAACUACGCAAAUAUGAGAGGCAUGCAUUCGAAUUACAUGUACAAGCUAUGUUCAAGCAAUGGCGGUCGAAUGUUAGCCUUGGUGGUUGGAGUUCUCUGGAAAUAGGUCCUAGAAGUGGGUAGUUAUCGGUGCAACUAAUAGGACAUGACCUUAAAAUUCACACUAGACAUAGGUGUUCACCUUAUAGGGUGGAGAGACUAAAGGUUAUAAUGUCAUACCAUAAGUAUAUUAGCAACUGGUCAUUGUUAAUAGAUUUAAGGGUAUGAGACUUCCAAUAUGCGAUAGUUGAGGAUGCAGAUUUAUUCUGCCCAGUACUGCAGCACUUGCUGUAACAACUGGUGCUAACUUGAUAAACAACAGUCACCCCAUAAGGAGAGUUUGAUCAUUCAACUACUAUAAUCUCAAUUGAAACUUAGACACAUUUAACCUAGUUUAUUUCAUUACGGUAUUGUUUUAUUUAAUUCUCUCACAAUCAUUAAUUACGAUAUAAAUUACUUCACAAUUGUUUGCUUCGGUCUUAAGUUGUUUUGCACUAUUGCGAUUGCUUUAGCAUUUCGAGUAACAUCAAUCUCUGUGGAGACGAUCUUGAAUACUCAUCACUUUAUUACUUGUUGUGUAUACUUGCACAUUGGCAUUGGUAGUAAUUGCUUAUAAAAUUAACCAACAAGUUUUUGGCGCCGUUGCCGGGGAUUGAUUGUUUAUUUUUUAAGUGUGAAGUAAAUUUUGAUAGUGCCAAAUUUGAUUUGAUUCAUUCUAUUUAUUGGCAGAUCGGUACAUGCAUGCGCAAAGACAGAUCUGUGGCAUUCCAAUUCGAUCCUGAGAUUGAAAGGACUGUCAGGAGACUGCGAAGAGAACAAAGGAAUUCAAACACUGUUUCAAGCAUGAAUAAUUUACAGGAUGCGGGAAAUUUGAAUCCUCACGGGCCCUUACAACCAGUCAACAUUCAAGAAGAGCAGAAUGAACAUGCUAAUGGGAGACAGCCAGGCAAUAACAAUAUUAUCUACAUGGCUGAUGACAGAGACAGAGUUAUAAAAGAUUAUGCUGUGUUAACCCCUCAAGUUGUACACCUUGGUAUCAUCAGACCUGAAGUAGAAGCUGCAAAUUUUGAGUUGAAGCCAGUGAUGUUUCAAAUGUUACAAACAGUUGGUCAAUUCAAUGGAUUGCCAAAUGAAGAUCCUCAUCUCCAUCUUAAAUUGUUCUUGGAAGUAAGUGAUGCUUUCAAGAUUGCUGGAGCAACACAAGAUGCCUUAAGGCUGAGGCUUUUUCCUUAUUCCUUACGAGAUCGAGCAAGAGCAUGGUUAAAUUUGUUACCAUCUGAUUCCAUUACUACAUGGAAUGAAUUGGCUGAUAAAUUCCUAAUGAAAUAUUUCCCACCGACAAAAAAUGCAAAGUUGCAGAAUGAGAUUACUUCCUUCCAUCAACUUGAAGAUGACAGUUUGUACGAGGCUUGGGAAAGAUUCAAAGAAUUGCUCAGAAGGUGUCCUCAUCAUGGUAUUCCUUGUUGCAUUCAAUUGGAAACUUUUUACAAUUGGUUGAAUCCGAGUACGAGGUUAAUGGUGGAUAUUUCAGCAAAUGGAGCCCUGUUAUUCAAAUCUUACACUGAAGCUUAUGAAAUUCUGGAGAGAAUUGCCAAUAAUAAUUAUCAGUGGCCUUCAGCCAGGCAACCAGCAGCAAGAGGACCAGCAGGGGUACAUAACAUAGAUGCAAUUACAGCCUUAUCAACGCAAGUAACCUCAUUGACUAACAUGGUAAAGGCCAUGACAUCUGCUCCAGCAACAGUAAAGCAAGUUGCUGAAUUUUCUUGUGUAUACUGUGGUGAAGAACAUGACUUUGAUAAUUUUUCUAGAAAUCCAGCUUUAGUAAACUUUGUGGGUAAUUUCAAUCGACAACCUCAGAACAACUCAUAUUCAAAUACUUACAACCCUGGCUGGAAACAAUACCCAAAUUUCUCAUGGACCAGUCAGAAUCGAAAUGCGCUUGCAUUAAAUGGACAAAAUAGAAACCCACAACCACCUGGUUUUCAUCAGCAGAGUCAAGGGAAAAAACAUAUCAGUUAGGAUCCAAUCACUUCACUGAAAGCAAUGAUUAAGGAGUACAUUGCAAAGAAUGAAGCAAUUGUGCAGAGUCAAGUUGUAUCCUUGAGAAACCUGGAGAACCAAAUGGGGCAACUAGCCACAGCAAUGAGCAGCAGAACUCAAAGAAGCUUACCUAGCAAUACAGAAGACCCUAGAAGAGAGAGCAAAAAACACUGCAAGGUAAUUAAUUUGAGAUCUGGAAAGAAUGUUGAUACCCUAGUUGAUGUGACAAAAAAUGAGAUGAAAUUCAAUUCAGCACAAAAACCGCCUCAAAAUGGAAGCAUGUUACAACAAGCCCCCCACCAAGACACUGGUUAUAUGAGCCAAGCUAUAGCAACUGCAAAGGAAAUUUAACUAGAACAUGCUGAAAAAGAGGUUGCAACACCAGUAGCCACAACCUACACCAAACCGAACAAGCAGAGUUUGAUACCUCCUGAAGCUACUAAGCAGUUUAGACAUCCACCACCUUUCCCAUAAAGGUUCCAGAAGGAAAAACAAGAUAAGCAGUUCAGCAAAUUCCUGGAAGUGCAGAAGCAAUUACACAUAAAUAUACAUUUUGUGGAAGCUUUGGAGCAAAUACCAAAUUAUGUGAAAUUUCUAAAAGACAUCUUGGCAUGAAAAAGAAGGAUGGGAGAGUUUGAAACUGUUGCUUUAACACAGGAAAGCAGUCAUAUGCUUCAAAUUAAGAUUCCUACAAAAGUGAAAGAUCCAGGGAGUUUUACAAUACCCUGCUCUAUAGGAACUAGGUAUGCUGGCAGAGCACUUUGUAACCUGGGAGCUAGUAUUAAUUUGAUGCCAUUGUCUGUAUUUAAGCAGCUGGGAGUAGGGGAAUGCAGACCAACAACAGUCACUCUGCAAUUAGCUGACAGAUCUCAUGCAUACCCUGAAGGAAAAAUAGAUGAUGUACUAGUGAAGGUUGACAAAUUCAUCUUUCCAGUGGAUUUCAUUGUACUGGACUUUGAAGCUGAUAAAGAGGUACCCAUUAUACUUGGAAGACCUUUUCUAGCAACUGGAAAGACUCUGAUAAAUGUGUAGAAAGGAGAGCUCACCAUGAGAGUAAAUGAUCAACAAGUCACAUUUAAUGUACUAGAGGCUAUGAGGAACCCUGAUGAAGUAGAAGAUUGUAAUUUCUUAAGUGUAGUGGAUUUUGUUGGAGCAGACAAAAUGGACAGAUGCUGCAGUAAUGCACUCGACAAAGUCACUACCUUUGAGGAUGUAGAAGAGGAAGAUGUUGCAGCAAUUCAGACAAAUUGGAUGGACAAAAAGCAAUUUGAUAGGCACAAUAGGUUUAUUAAACACCUGAAUCUUUCAGACAGGGAAGUAAAAAUAACUUUACCAUCUAUUGAAUCACCUCCUAGUCUUGAAUUAAAAUUGUUACCUUCACAUUUGAAGUAUGCUUAUCUUGGUCAAAACAACACUCUCUGUAAUCAUUUCUUCUACUUUGGAUGCAGGUCAAGAACAGAGUCGAGUAGAUUUGUUUGGAAAAUACAGAAAAGCAAUUGGAUGGACCAUGGCAUAUAUAAAAGGGAUAAGCUCAUCAAUAUGCAUGCACAAAAUCCUGUUAGAAGAUUGCUCCAGCAAUUCAGUGGAGCACCAGAGAAGGUUGAACCCUAUUAUGAAAGAAGUAGUGAAGAAAGAAAUCAUUAAAUGGUUGGAUGCUGGAAUCAUAUACCCAAUAUCAGACAGUUCAUGGGUUAGCCCAGUUCAAUGUGUUCCAAAGAAAGGAGUGAUAACAGUAAUAGCUAAUGAGAAUGAUGAAUUUAUUCCUACAAGGACAGUGACUGGAUGGAGAGUAUGUAUGGAUUACAGGAAGCUCAACAAAGCCACAAGGAAAGACCAUUUCCCACUUCCAUCAUAGAUCAGAUGCUGGACAGACUUGCUGGAAAAUAAUACUAUUGUUUCUUAAAUGGGUAUUUAGGCUACAACCAGAUUGCUAUAGCUUUAAAAGAUCAAGAGAAUACUACAUUUACUUGUCCUUAUGGAACAUUUGCCUUCAGAAGAAUGCCCUUUGGGUUAUGCAAUGCUCCAACAACUUUUCAGAGAUGCAUGAUGUCUAUAUUUUCUGAUAUGGUAGAGCAGACUUUAGAAGUUUUCAUGGAUGACUUCUCAGUUUUUGGAAAAACAUACAAUGAUUGUUUACACAACUUGGAAGAAGUCUUUAAAAGAUGUGAGAUGACCAACUUAGUACUCAAUUGGGAAAAGUGUCAUUUCAUGGUGCAAGAAGGAAUAGUGUUGGGUCACAAGGUAUAAAAGAAUGGCAUUGAGGUAAACAAAGCCAAGAUAGAGGUAAUAGAUAAACUGCCACCUCCAACUUCAGUAAAAGGUAUUAGGAGUUUUUUGGGUCAUGCUGGAUUAUACAGAAGAUUUAUUAAGGUUUUUUCCAAAGUAGCUAAACCACUAUGCUCAUUGCUUGAACAUGACAAACCUUUUCACUUUGACAAAGAUUGCCUUCAAGCAUUUGGAGAAUUAAAGAAAGCUCUGAUCACUGCUCCAGUAGUUAUAUCUCUAGAUUGGACUUUACCAUUUGAACUGAUGUGUGAUGCUAGUGAUCAUUAUGUGGGAGCAAUAUUAGGGCAAAGAAAGGAUAAGGUUUUUCAUUCCAUAUACUAUGCAAGCAAAACUUUUACUCAAACUCAGAUCAAUUACACCACUAUAGAAAAAGAGUUGCUAGCAUUAGUAUUUACUUUUGACAAAUUCAGAGCUUACUUGGUGGGUACUAAAGUAACUGUUUACACAGACCAUGCAGCCAUCAAAUACUUAAUUUCAAAGAAGGAUGCCAAACCAAGAUUAAUCAUAUGGAUCUUAUUGCUUCAAGAAUUUGAUCUGGAAAUUAAAGAUAGAAAGGGGACUGAGAAUCAAGUGGCAAACCACUUAUCACAGCUGGAAGCAGACACUAGUACCUUGAUAAGGAGGGGCAUCACUGAAACAUUUCUUGAUGAACAGCUGUUGGCAAUACAGCAAGCACAGAUGCUGCAGCAGUCAGGACCCCCAUGGUAUGCAGAUUUUGCUAACUACCUAGUAAAUGGGAUGCUACUAACUGAGCUGAAGUUUCAGGAGAAAAAUAAAUUUCUUCAUGAUGUUAGAAGUUAUCAGUGGGAUGAUCCACAUUUAUAUAAGUUAUACUCAGAUAAAGUAAUACGAAGAUGUGCUUCCGAAGGAGAAAUACACCACAUACUAGAGUCAUGUCAUGCUGCAGCAUAUGAAGGACAUUUUGGUGGUCAUAGAACAACUGCUAAAGUUCUGCAAUCAGGUUACUACUGGCCUACUAUUUUUAAAGAUGCUUAUCAAUUUGUUAAAUGUUGUGACAGGUGCCAAAGGACAGGGAACAUAACUAAAAGACAUGAAAUGUCAUUGACUAACAUUCUAGAAGUGGAAGUUUUUGAUAUCUGGGGAAUAGAUUUUAUGGGACCUUUUCCACCAUCCUUUAGGAACUUAUAUAUCCUUGUUGAUGUGGAUUAUAUCUCCAAGUGAGUAGAAGCUUCAGCAUUACCUACCAAUGAUGUUAAAACAGUGGUGGCUUUUCUACAGAAAAAUAUUUUUUCCAGGUUUGGCACUCCUAGAGCAAUUAUUAGUGAUGAGGGUACACAUUUUUGCAACAAAGUCUUUGCUGCAACUAUGAUGAAAUAUGGAGUCAGACACAAGGUAGCAACAGCAUAUCACCCACAAUCCAUGGUCAGGCCGAAAUGUCCAACAAAGAAAUUAAAAAGAUCUUAGAAAAAGUGGUGAACCCAACGAGGAAGGAUUGGUCUUUACACUUACAUGACUCUCUAUGGGCCUACAUAACAGCAUACAAAACUCCACUCGGCAUGUCUCCUUACCGAAUUGUUUAUGGAAAGGCUUGUCAUUUGCCACUAGAGCUAGAGCAUAAAGCACACUGGGCACUGAAGAAAUUAAAUUGGGACAUUCAUGCUGCAGCAGAGCAAAUGAAGCUUCAACUUUGUGAGCUUGAUGAAUUACGACUAUUUUCAUAUGAAAAUGCAAGAAUCUAUCAAGAGAGGACAAAACACUGGCACGAAAAACAUAUUCAACACAUGCAAUUCAACCCUAGUCAAUUAGUGUUGCUACACAAUACAAGACUAAGAUUAUUUCCGGGAAAGCUCAAGUCACGAUGGUCUGGCCGUUUAAGCUGUUAAAAUUUUAUCCUCAUGGAGCUGUUGAUCUUCUAGAUGAACAAACAAGUCAAGAAUUCAAAGUUAAUGAACACUGGGUUAAGCAUUACAUACAUCCAGCGCCCGAUUGUUCAAAAGAGGUGUUACUCCUUAAAGAACCCAGCUAUUGAACAAUGAAAGAAUGUCAAGCUGAAGGACCUUAAAUCAAGCGCUCCAUGGGAGGCAACCCAUUGUGGAGACAGCCACUUUAAACCAACUUUGAUCUCCUUUAAGUGCAGAGGUGAGCCACGUGUCAGAGGCUUUAGUGUGGAGUAUGUAACCGUUGCUAGAGUAAGCGAAUGGGUGCUGCAGCAACCAAUUUUACCGUUACAGUAAAUUAAAAGAUGGAGCCUCUCACUUACCGUUGGAAAUAAAUCAUGACAGAUGGAGGGACAUUAGCCUCAAUUUGUUACUACUACAGCAAUGCCGAGGUAUAAGAAAACAGCCAGCCGCCUCAAAGAUCCGUCACGCUUCCAGAGUUACCACGCUGAAGAAAAAUAUGAGGAAUUCAUAGAGCCGUGUAAGAUUCUGGAAGAAAAAGGGUUUCAAUUUCCAGAACAACUCACUGGAAUUGUGCAAACAAUUCACAAUGCUGCAGCAAAGCGAGAAUGGUUAGAGUUUUGCAACCACCCUCGGGAUCCUGUGGUACCAGUAGUCAAAGAAUUUUACGCCAAUUUGGUAAGCCCUGAUCAGCACAACAUUUGGGUAAGAAACACACUUGUUCCAUUAGACUCCCGUGUUAUAAAUGGCUUUUAUAAUUUACCUGCUGAAAUUAAUUGUGAGUAUGCCAAGUUGCUUGAUAAAUUGACCCCGAAAAAGUGGAACACCAUUUUCACAACUCUUACAAUCGAAGGGGCAUCAUGGGCUAACGAGGACGGACGUGUAGUUAAUAGGAUAGAUUUGAAACCGUGAAAUUUCUGAAAUCUAGGCUUAUGCCCACCACUCAUACUACUACGGUUUCACAAGAGAGGUUGGUCUUGUUAUAUGUCAUUGUUUGAGGGCUUCUCAUAGAUGUGGGUAGCAUCAUCGCAAAAGAAAUCCGGGAUUGUGCAGUUAAGUCUCACUGAACUGCUGCCUUGCUAUUUCCUUCACUCAUCACCAGCAUUUGUGUAGUUUUUCGGUGUUCGUCUUGACACACGAGAUGACCAUGUCAAGAACGAUGGUGCGCACCAUUGAGAGAGUUGCUGGUGAGAGUGCGGGAAUAACCACUGAACCAGCUGUUGUAACAGGUGCAGGACGGGCUAUUGGCUUAGAACAGACUAUCCAGGCACUCAGCACCAAUAUAACUCAAUGUGCGGAAGCUCAGCAGAGGGAAAACGAUCGGUUUUGGAGUUGUCUACAGCACCUGGACAACCAACUACACCAAUUUGCUCUGUACAUGACACGCACUCACAGGAACUUCCCUGAUUCAUUGCUCCAGCAGUAUAAUUUUGACAGCAACACCACAGGUGCUCCAGCAGAAGCCAGUGAAGAAGCCACUGCCACAGAUGAGCCAGCAGAAGAAGCUGCAGCUGAACAUAAGUAGAGGUAGAAUCAAAAGAUAUUGAACCAUCUGAGGAAGAAGGUGACAAGUCUGAGACUGAUAGCUCACCCACAGAGGCAGAGGACAACUCGGAGAAAGAACGUGAGGAACCUUCUAUCCCAACUCAGUCCAAAACCAGGAAAAAGCACAUUAUUCAAGAAGAUGAGGAGGAAGACCUUGAAGAGGAACCGUCUAUUCCAGUCUUUGCGGGAAAGGGAAAGGGCAAGGGUAAAGCAAAAAUGACAACACCUCUAGCCUUUGACGAUGAAAUGGAGCAAGUUGAUGCUGAGCUGGCUGCUGCAGUAACCAGAGUUAUGUCUACACCUGCAGAAGCCAAGCAACUACUUGCUAUCACAGCUGAGGGCCAGGCAGCUGAUGCAUCAACUCCAAUUCCUCCACAGCAAACUCCUAGCCAGCCUGUUCGUACCAGUCCGCAACAAUACAGCAAAAGAAAAGGCAGUACGUCUAAAGGCACUGCUACAGCAACCCCAGCCACAACUCCUCUCACAAGCCCCGUGAAGAAAAAGACAAAGACAUUGUCAGCUACUUCCCCACAAGUUUUACCAAAGUAUAAGCUGCGCAGUGCAUCCAAGAAGCGCUGAUAGCAUCCCGUCAUGUGCUGCAGUCCCCACCACAGGGGAGUAUUCUUUCCUUGCUAGUUCACUUCAUUAAAAAAAAAACAUUUUUUCCUUCUAUUUGUCAAUUUGUGUGGUAUUUUCUAAGGUCUUUCAUAUCCUUGUCAGUUCGUGUGCCCUUGUUAUGUAUGCUUGUGAGGACACAACAACUCUCAAGUUUGGGGGGGUCGUGUUUCCGAAUGCAUGUGUUUAUGUUUCUGUUGUGUGAAGCUAUGUUAUCUAAUAUUUGUGUAUGGAUUUGAAAACCUAAUGAAGAUAAAUUGAGUGUUAUUCAGUAUUUAUGAGAAUGCCAAGUAGAGAUAGUUAUAGAUGGAAGUGAAAUUCUGUCCCGACACUUAGACUUUGGUUGAAUUGUAUGAGACUGCUAGAGCAGAGCUAAAAGAAUAGAAAAGAGCUUAAGUUUGGGGGGAGAAGCAAGUUUGAUUGACUGUGAUAUCUAUGAAAUAAACUUUGUUCCAAUGGCUCAAGUUGCUGAGUAACCAGAUCUGAGUAUGUACCCCAUAUGCAGAAUUGUGUUCAAAGGUAGCGAGAGUUAUGAGCAAUGCUGUUCAUGAGCCCCAUAUUCAGCCUUGAGUAAAAGAUACCUCUAGAUAAGAUUAUACUGCAAAUAUUGCUGCAGUAACUCUGAUCUGGGCAUGGUUUGAGUAAUUGGGUGUCCUCAUUACAAGUGAUUGACAUUCACAUGAAAGAUAAAUGUUACAGUGAGGAGGUUGAUUACUCCCCAGUUUAUCAAUAUUAAAAUCAUCACAGUUUGAGUAUGUGAAACUUGUGCUACCCCAUUUAUGAAUGAAGUGUUAUCACUGCUGAAAUUCAUGUAGUCCCUUGGUGAUGUUAUAGCAUCUCUGGAAUUCAAUCAAAGGAGCACACACACACUAUGGACAGAAAGAAGCUUAAGUCUAGAACUGAUUUACUAUGGUCAUUUUGCAUGAUUGGGAUUGUGAUCUGAAGGUGGAAAAAUCCUUGCAAAUUUGAUAAAAGAGCUAAAAUUACGUGCAUGAUUGUUUGUCGGAAGUGUUAGUAUGUGUCAUUACUUGAGGGCAAGUAAUGGUUUAAGUUUGAGGGUGUGAUAACUCUAGGAAAUCAGAGUUGUUACAUCAAUUCUAGACUUAAAUCAAGAUCAUUUAGAGAACAAAUAAGGUGUUUUUAUUACAUUUUGGUUACAUUUUGCAUAAACAUUCAUUUUAGUUGAGUCUUAAUAAGUUUUGCUUGAAUCAAAGUAAUUUGUGCUAAAAAUAAGUGCAUAAUUGUAGGUUUUCAGAAAGUCUUAAUUCAUGAGAGGAUGUUGAGACAUUAGAUGAGCAAGAGGAGGAA